rnacentral:tRNA from 1 species
GUGGUAGUUCAGUUGGUUAGAAUACCGGCCUGUCACGCCGGGGGUCGCGGGUUCGAGUCCCGUCCACUCCGCCA